rnacentral:rRNA from 1 species
UACGGGGGGGGCAAGCGUUGUUCGGAAUUACUGGGCGUAAAGGGCUCGUAGGCGGCCAACUAAGUCAGACGUGAAAUCCCUCGGCUUAACCGGGGAACUGCAUUCGAGACUGCAUUGCUAGAGUAUGGGAGAGGGAAGUGGAAUUUCAGGUGUAGCGGUGAAAUGCGUAGAUAUCUGAAGGAACAUCAGUGGCGAAAGCGACUUCCUGGACCAAUACUGACGCUCAUGUGCGAAAGCGUGGGGAGCAAACAGG